AUUGAACGCUGGCGGCAGGCCUAACACAUGCAAGUCGAGCGGAUGAAGGGAGCUUGCUCCUGGAUUCAGCGGCGGACGGGUGAGUAAUGCCUAGGAAUCUGCCUGGUAGUGGGGGAUAACGUCCUGAAACGGGCGCUAAUACCGCAUACGUCCUGAGGGAGAAAGUGGGGGAUCUUCGGACCUCACGCUAUCAGAUGAGCCUAGGUCGGAUUAGCUAGUUGGUGGGGUAAAGGCCUACCAAGGCGGCGAUCCGUAACUGGUCUGAGAGGAUGAUCAGUCACACUGGAACUGAGACACGGUCCAGACUCCUACGGGAGGCAGCAGUGGGGAAUAUUGGACAAUGGGCGAAAGCCUGAUCCAGCCAUGCCGCGUGUGUGAAGAAGGUCUUCGGAUUGUAAAGCACUUUAAGUUGGGAGGAAGGGCAGUAAGUUAAUACCUUGCUGUUUUGACGUUACCAACAGAAUAAGCACCGGCUAACUUCGUG
rnacentral:rRNA from 1 species